rnacentral:rRNA from 1 species
CGCGGCCUAUCAGCUUGUUGGUGGGGUAAUGGCCUACCAAGGCAUCGACGGGUAGCUGGUCUGAGAGGAUGAUCAGCCACACUGGGACUGAGACACGGCCCAGACUCCUACGGGAGGCAGCAGUGGGGAAUCUUGCACAAUGGGCGAAAGCCUGAUGCAGCAACGCCGCGUGCGGGAAGAAGGCCCUCGGGUUGUAAACCGCUUUCAGAAGGAACGAAACUGACGGUACUUUCAGAAGAAGGUGCGGCCAACUACGUGCCAGCAGCCGCGGUGACACGUAGGCACCAAGCGUUGUCCGGAUUUAUUGGGCGUAAAGAGCUCGUAGGCGGUUCAGUAAGUCGGGUGUGAAAACUUUGGGCUUAACCCAAAGCGUGCAUCCGAUACUGCUGUGACUUGAGUACGGUAGGGGAGCGGGGAAUUCCUAGUGUAGCGGUGAAAUGCGCAGAUAUUAGGAGGAACACCGGUGGCGAAGGCGCCGCUCUGGGCCGAAACUGACGCUGAGGAGCGAAAGCAUGGGUAGCAAACAGGAUUAGAUACCCUGGUAGUCCAUGCCGUAAACGUUGGGCACUAGGUGUGGGUUCCAACCAACGGAAUCCGCGCCGUCGCUAACGCAUUAAGUGCCCCGCCUGGGGAGUACGG